rnacentral:lncRNA from 1 species
CUGACUCUCUUUUCGGACUCAGCCCACUUGCACCCAGGUGAAAUAACAGCCAUGUUGCUCACACGAAGCCUGUUUAGUGGUCUCUUCACACGGACACACAUGAAAUUUGGUGCUGUGACUUGGAUCGGGGUACCUCCCUUGGGAGAUCAAUCCCCUGUCCUCCUGCUCUUUGCUCCGUGAGAAAGAUCCACCUAUGACCUCAUGUCCUCAGACCGACCAGCCCAAGGAACAUCUCACCAAUUUUAAAUCAGCAUCUGAAGUUCUCUGGAACUAAAUAUCCAUGACAUGAAGAGAGGGGAAAGUACUGGAAAUAGAAUGAAAUUUUAGGGCCGAGCAUGGUGGUUCGUGCUUGCAAUCCCAGCACUUUGGGAGGCAGAGGCGGGAUGAUUGAGACCAGGAGUGCGAGACCAGCCUGGGCAACAUAACAAGACCCUCAUUUCUACAAAACAACAACAACAACAACAACAACCUGGGCACGGUGACACACACCUACAGUUCCAGCUACUCGAGAGGCUGAGGUGAGAGAAUCGCUUGAGCCCAGGAGUUCGGGGUUGCAGUGAGCUAUGAUCGCAUGACUGCACUCCAGCCUGAGUGACAGAGUGAGACCCUGUCUCAAAAAAAUAAAAAGAAUGGAAUUCUGAAUAAGAACUCAUGGGUUUGUUUGAAUCUGGCUGUAGAAUUAAUUGUGUGACUUUACAUAAGUAAUUUAACCUUUCUUACCCUUCGUUUUCUCAUUUGUGUAAUCAAUGUAGUAAUACUGGCCCUAACUAAGUCGAAGUUAUGUUGAAAAUCAAAUGAAGGGAUAUAUGAGAAAAAUAUAUACAAUCUCUAAAAUAUCUACAAAGAAAAUUUGUAUUAUGGUGUAAAAAGUAGAUAUAUUAAUAAUAAGGAUAUUCUGUGACUGUAUUAUUAAACCCUUUCAGCUAUAUGUUGCCUUCGUUAGAAAAUAAGAUAAAAAAUUAGGGAGGAGAAAACAGGAAACAGAAUAUAAGAAUUGCUCUUAGGCUGAAAAAAUUUACAAUAGGAAAUGAAGAAAAUUUUAAAAAUACUUGAUAGAAAAUAUAAAAAGAGUUAAGAGAGAAUGGAAAGUAGAUAUUGGGAUGAAUCUCAAAAAAACAUAUCUGCAUUAGCGAAUCUGUAGUAAGAUCAAGAAAUUUGGAGUUGUCUACAUGUUAUUUGUAAUCUCUCUUUCUGAAGCCUUUAGAGCUAUAGGAAUUAAAAUAAUGAAAACUUUUGAACUAGAAAGUAUAAGUAUCUCCAAUGUUCUUUACUAUGGGUAAAAGAAUUAUCUAUGUUCAAAGGUUGACAAUAUGAAUAACUGGAAUUGUUUACAUUUGUGAAUUGCUUACAUGUCAAAAUGCCUUUUGCCAAAGCAUUUUGAUCCAUUUAACCUUUACUUCUUUUUCAAUUUCUAUAUAUGUAUUAAACAUUUUAAUAUUGAAAA